GUUAUUCUAUAAUAAUAAUAAUUAUAAUAAUAAUAAUAAUAAUAACAAUAAUACAAUUAUUAAUUAUAUUAAUAUACGACGAAUGAUAAUUAUUUUUUUUGUAGUUAAUAUUAUUGAAGAAACAAAUUUUUAUUUAAAUAUAUUUCAAAUUAUUUAAAAUUUUACCGGCUUUUCUUAAAAAAAUUUUUAUAAAAAUGGCUGAUGAAUCAACAACUGGAUCAAAUUCAACAUCUAAUUACUCAGCAGAAAGAACUGAACUACUCUACAAAACAAUUAAAACAAAUCUUCAAGAAGUAUUACAACUCGCAAAUGAAACAGACAAGAAUUUAAAAAACUUGAAACAAAAUAUGGCUACUACAGAAAAGUUAUUAAAGAUAAUAAAAAAAGAUAAUGUGUAAUUAAAAAUAAAAGAUACAUUCCUUGUAUUAAAUAAAAUAAAAUAAUCUAUGAGUAAGUAUAAAGAUUUA